CUCCUUCUAAAAAGCACUUGCUUCGUCUGUUUAGUGGCUGAGUGAGUUGUCGUGGAAGGAAAUAAUAAAUCCCAUUGCUUAAGGGUGAGAUGGCAGCUUUGUUUGUAACUGUUAAAUCUCAAUCGGUGAUGGAACACCU
rnacentral:snoRNA from 1 species